GCUACAAUGGAGAUCCCACAGACAGCUACAGUAAGGAGGAGUUCCAAUGGGCUGCUGUAGCGCAACCAUAGACUGUGAACGCAACACAGAGACAUGUAGAUGUACAUUUACAGAUAAACCUGGGAGUGUGCUGUGCUUCAGAGCAGACCUCCACCAUGAUAAACUGGUGUGUAUGCUGCCUUUGUAUGCCCUGCCCCCAGCUGGCUGGAUGUUCCACACACACACACACACACACACACAGUGGGAGAGAAUAAAGGAAGUACAGUAGGCUAUACUAUCUCUGCUGCCCUGCGCCUAACCCUGGCACAGCGAAGACGCAGGACGCAACAAACUUUUGGUUUCCGUCGUCUAUAUAGUCUAUAUAACGUCUAUAUUUAUCUACACCCCGACAAACCUUCCAACAAAGAUCAUGGACCCGGGGCCAAAGGAGACUGCCGUCGCAGAGAAACUCGCGGCUUUAAUCUCAGGCUCACGGACACGACCAGUCGCCGAUAGCAACAGUGUUGUUACUGACAGAACAAUCACAAAUAUAAAAGGAAAAAACCUCAACAUGGCGGUUGAAACAGUGAGUGAUCCAGGAAGCGGUCCGAGUGGAAAAGCUGGUGGAGAAGAUGCACAGGCAGAUUGCUCUGCACGUGGCAGCAGUGUGAUUUGUACUGAUCAUAUAUCUGAUGUUGAGGUUGAUGGUGAUAUCGAUUUCUCAGUGACUGUGAAACCAAAGGCACAGUAGACAAGACACUGCCGGACUCUCAGGCCAAGAAACAUGGUGUCCACCCCAUUCACCUCCAGUCUCCAUUACAUCCAGGGCCCAGGGUUCCUCCAACUCUACUCAUCACAAGACCUGCUCCAC